UGGGGAAUAUUGCACAAUGGGGGAAACCCUGAUGCAGCGACGCCGCGUGAACGAAGAAGGUAUUCGUAUCGUAAAGUUCUGUCCUAUGGGAAGAUAAUGACAGUACCAUAGAAGAAAGCUCCGGCUAAAUACGUGCCAGCAGCCGCGGUAAUACGUAUGGAGCGAGCGUUGUCCGGAAUUAUUGGGCGUAAAGGGUGCGCAGGCGGUUUAAUAAGUCGAAUGUUAAAGAUCGGGGCUCAACCCCGCAAAGCAUUGGAAACUGAUAAACUUGAGUAGUGGAGAGGAAAGUGGAAUUCCUAGUGUAGUGGUGAAAUACGUAGAUAUUAGGAGGAAUACCAGUAGCGAAGGCGACUUUCUGGACACAAACUGACGCUGAGGUACGAAAGCGUGGGGAGCAAACAGG
rnacentral:rRNA from 1 species